UACGUAGGGUGCAAGCGUUGUUCGGAAUCAUUGGGCGUAAAGCGCGUGUAGGCGGUUCGCUAAGUCUGGUGUGAAAGCCCGAGGCUUAACUUCGGAAGUGCACUGGAUACUGGCGAACUAGAGGACAAGAGAGGAGAGUGGAAUUCCCGGUGUAGGGGUGAAAUCCGUAGAUAUCGGGAGGAACAUCAGUUGCGAAGGCGGCUCUCUGGCUUGUAUCUGACGCUCUGGCGCGAAAGCGUGGGGAGCAAACAGG
rnacentral:rRNA from 1 species